UACGGAGGGUGCAAGCGUUGUCCGGAAUCACUGGGCGUAAAGGGCGCGUAGGCGGCUCAUGAAGGCUGUGGUGAAAGUCCGGGGCUCAACCUCGGAUCGGCCGUGGCGACUCGUGGGCUGGAGCACUGUAGAGGCGGGUGGAAUUCCGGGUGUAGCGGUGGAAUGCGUAGAGAUCCGGAAGAACACCAGUGGCGAAGGCGGCCCGCUGGGCAGUGGCUGACGGCUGGGGCGCGACAGCGUGGGGAGCAAACAGG
rnacentral:rRNA from 1 species